rnacentral:rRNA from 1 species
UACGUAGGUGGCGAGCGUUGUCCGGAUUUACUGGGCGUAAAGGGAGCGUAGGCGGGCUUUUAAGUGAGAUGUGAAAUACUCGGGCUCAACCUGAGUGCUGCAUUUCAAACUGGAAGUCUAGAGUGCAGGAGAGGAGAAUGGAAUUCCUAGUGUAGCGGUGAAAUGCGUAGAGAUUAGGAAGAACACCAGUGGCGAAGGCGAUUCUCUGGACUGUAACUGACGCUGAGGCUCGAAAGCGUGGGGAGCAAACAGG